UACGAAGGGUGCAAACGUUGCUCGGAAUUAUUGGGCGUAAAGCGCCCGCAGGCGGCUUGGCAAGUUCGAGGUGAAAUCUCCCGGCUCAACUGGGAGGGUGCCUCGAAAACUGCCAGGCUUGAGGCAGGGAGAGGGAUGUGGAAUUCCCGGUGUAGUGGUGAAAUGCGUAGAUAUCGGGAGGAACACCAGUGGCGAAGGCGGCAUCCUGGCCCUGUCCUGACGCUCAGGGGCGAAAGCGUGGGGAGCAAACCGG
rnacentral:rRNA from 1 species